UGCCUAUAAAACAUGGAAUGGACAAAGAAACACCUAAAACAUAAGGAACUGGAGAAGGAAAUUCAAGGAAAGCAAUGGCAGCAGAAAAAUGACCGCGAUCAAAAAACUUUAGUGAGUAUGAUAAAAGUCUUUUAAAGACAAUAGUAUCAAGACACCCAGUCAUUGAAGACAAACAGCACACAUCUGCUGUGGAAUCAAAGAAAAGGAAUGCAUGGAAAUCCAUCUGUAAUGAAUUUAAUGCAAAUGAACAAACAUCCACAAGAACAAUACAACAGCUUCAGGUUUUGUGGAAGAAUAUAAAAAUCAACCUAAAAAAAACUGCUGCAGAAGCCCGAAGAGAGAGGUUUAAGACUGGUGGAGGACCUGCAAAUAAAGAUACUGAUCAGUUGGAUGACUUACUGACAGGAAUCAUGGAGAACCAGCAACCUUUGGAGAACAUACCAGAUGAUGACCAUCUAGACAGUUCAGAUGAGGGAUCACACACACACAUACUACAAUGGGAGAAAGUCAAAGGGACAUAACUGAAGCGCUGCAAGGUAAUUUACCCUCCACAUCCUCAGAAACUAGGGUGGCAGUGUCUGCCAGUACCGGUGAUCAAAACAAGAGUCACAAUCCACGAAAAGCUGGCCAUUGAAUUUCAUGAACACAAGUUGAAGUACCUUAAGGAGGAGCAUGAAAUGAAAAUGAAGAUCCUCCAAGUAGAACUGGAAAUGAAGAUGGAAGGAGACAGAGAUGCAACUGUCUGAUAUCACAACAAUGAAUAUGGAAUAAAAAUUGUUUAUUAAAUCAUU